rfam:Ixodes scapularis strain Wikel colony gcontig_1108379083798, whole genome shotgun sequence.
UCCUGGUUACCUGAGUUGGUAGAGCACUCCACUAGAAAUGGAGAGGUCCCUGGUUCGAUAGCAGGACUAGGUG